rnacentral:rRNA from 1 species
UCGAGGAUCUUCGGCAAUGGGCGCAAGCCUGACCGAGCGACGCCGCGUGCGCGAUGAAGGCCUUCGGGUUGUAAAGCGCUGUCGAGGGGGAGGAAAGCCGCAAGGUCUGACCUAUCCCUGGAGGAAGCACGGGCUAAGUUCGUGCCAGCAGCCGCGGUAAGACGAACCGUGCGAACGUUGUUCGGAAUCACUGGGCUUAAAGGGCGCGUAGGCGGGCGGCCAAGUCCGGGGUGAAAUCUUUCGGCUCAACCGGAAGACGGCCCCGGAGACUGGCGGUCUCGAGGGGGGUAGGGGCAGUGGGAACUUCCGGUGGAGCGGUGAAAUGCGUUGAUAUCGGAAGGAACGCCGGUGGCGAAAGCGCACUGCUGGGCCCUUUCUGACGCUGAGGCGCGAAAGCCAGGGGAGCAAACGGGAUUAGAUACCCCCGUAGUCC